rnacentral:rRNA from 1 species
AAACGGGUUCGAACACAGGCAUGCCCUAGUAACGGCGAGUGAAGCGGCAACAGCUCAAAUUUGAAAUCUGGCGCAAGCCCGAGUUGUAAUUUGUAGAGGAUGCUUCUGGGCAGCGGCCGGUCUAAGUUCCUUGGAACAGGACGUCAUAGAGGGUGAGAAUCCCGUAUGCGACCGGCUUGCACCCGUCACGUAGCUCCUUCGACGAGUCGAGUUGUUUGGGAAUGCAGCUCUAAAUGGGAGGUAAAUUUCUUCUAAGGCUAAAUACCGGCCAGAGACCGAUAGCGCACAAGUAGAGUGAUCGAAAGAUGAAAAGCACUUUGGAAAGAGAGUUAAAAAGCACGUGAAAUUGUUGAAAGGGAAGCUCACGCAACCAGACUUGUCGGCGGUGUUCCGCCGGUCUUCUGACCGGUCUACUCGCCGCCGGCAGGCCAGCAUCACUUGGGAGCGCCGGAUAAAGGCGUGCGGAAUGUAGCCCCUCGGGGCAUUAUAGCCGCGCGCACAAUACGGCGCCUCCCGAGUGAGGUCCGCGCUUUGGCUAGGAUGCUGGCGUAAUGGUUGCUUGAGGCCCGUCUUGAAACACGGACCAAGGAGUCUAACAUCUAUGCGAGUGUUCGGGUGUCAAACCCCUACGCGGAAUGAAAGUGAACGGAGGUGGGAACCGCAAGGUGCACCAUCGACCGAUCCUGAUGUCUUCGGAUGGAUUUGAGUAAGAGCAUAGCUGUUGGGACCCGAAAGAUGGUGAACUAUGCCUGAAUAGGGUGAAGCCAGAGGAAACUCUGGUGGAGGCUCGCAGCGGUUCUGACGUGCAAAUCGAUCGUCAAAUUUGGGUAUAGGGGGCGAAAGACUAAUCGAACCAUCUAGUAGCUGGUUCCUGCCGAGCCCCCCCCCCCAGGAAGAACGCUCCAAGAUCGUUUCGAUAAGUUCAUUCGCCCCUAUACCCUAAAUCUGACGAUGGAUGUGCAGUCGAACCGCUCGAGCCUCCCCACAGUUUCGCUUGGCUUUCAUUAUUCCGGGCGAAGUUUACACCUAUGGGGUCUCACAGCCACGUGUCCUUCACCAAUCUCUCAAAACAACUUCACGGAAUGGCGUGAAUGGGUGCACACUUGGGGUGCCACUUCAUAUUCACUCGCGCCAGAGAGCUGGUUAUCCGACUCAUGAGACGUAUUUAGUGAACGACU